GAGGGUGCGAGCGUUAAUCGGAAUUACUGGGCGUAAAGCGUGCGUAGACGGUUAUUUAAGUCGGGUGUGAAAGCCCCGGGCUCAACCUGGGAAUUGCAUUCGAGACUGAAUAGCUAGGGUACGGUAGAGGGAAGUGGAAUUUCCGGUGUAGCGGUGAAAUGCGUAGAUAUCGGAAGGAACAUCAGUGGCGAAAGCGACUUCCUGGACCAGUACCGACGUUCAGGCACGAAAGCGUGGGGAGCAAACAGGAUUAGAUACCCUGGUAGUCCACGCCAUAAACGAUGAGGACUAGACGUUGGAGGGGUAAGCCUUUCAGUGUCGUAGCUAACGCGCUAAGUCCUCCGCCUGGGGAGUACGGCCGCAAGGUUG
rnacentral:rRNA from 1 species